CAUAAGUCAUUAAACAUGAUGAAGUCCCUCUGGGGCACAACUAGAAGCUUCAUUCCUCUUGAUGAACAUCCAAGUGAUGGGAAGUUCUAUGCAUGCUACUGGAGGUGAAAGAUCAGGACCAUACUUGACUUUCAUCGGAGAAGCUCCUUCUCAGAGUAGGUGGACAUUAACACAAAGGCCUACAACUGGACACUAUGCAACAAGUGAAGCAUUCAGUAUUAAAUGGGAUGUUAUCCUCAAAGUCUUGCACUCAAAGCUCAAUGAUAUCUGUGGAAGAAGAGGGGGAAAGAUUUUAAGAGCCAGAGGUAAAAGAUGACUCAAAGAUGACUCAAGAUGCCCUGUCUUUGAGAAGUGAUCUUUCAAAGCACAGCAUCAAGCGUCCAGAAUGGCCACCUCUGACAAUCAUGUGUGUAUAUUCCUUUUUGAAAUGUCUG
rnacentral:lncRNA from 1 species